GACGAACGCUGGCGGCGUGCUUAACACAUGCAAGUCGAGCGGAAAGGCUCCUUCGGGGGUACUCGAGCGGCGAACGGGUGAGUAACACGUGAGUAAUCUGCCCUGUGCUCUGGGAUAGCCACCGGAAACGGUGAUUAAUACCGGAUACGACCACUAUAGGCAUCUGCUGGUGGUGGAAAGUUUUUUCCGCAUGGGAUGUGCUCGCGGCCUAUCAGCUUGUUGGUGAGGUAAUGGCUCACCAAGGCUUUGACGGGUAGCCGGCCUGAGAGGGUGACCGGUCACACUGGGACUGAGACACGGCCCAGACUCCUACGGGAGGCAGCAGUGGGGAAUAUUGGACAAUGGGCGGAAGCCUGAUCCAGCAACGCCGCGUGAGGGAUGACGGCCUUCGGGUUGUAAACCUCUUUCAGUACCGACGAAGCGAAGGUGACGGUAGGUACAGAAGAAGGACCGGCCAACUACGUGCCAGCCGCCGCAGUAACAC
rnacentral:rRNA from 1 species